CAUUUUCUUCUCUCUCUCUCUCUAGUCUCAGCUCUCUCUAUUCUUUUCUCUCUACUCUCUCAUCUCUCCCUAAACCACCACAUAUUCUAACUCCACCAUAAAACCCAGGUUUCCAAUUGAACUUUAACUGGAACCUUUAAACCUUCAACCAAUGUUCAUUCAAUGAUGAACACUAAUCCAUAACCCUAUAAUAUUCACCGUCCCACUUAAAAUCCUAGGAACCCCAGCAACUUCUGGGUAAACCCUAACACACCCAGAAAAACCCUAACCCUACAAACACAUGAACCCUACUUAUGAACCCUAACCCUAACACGAACCCAGAAAGAACCCUAACAUGUGACCUUCAUAACCUACCCGGAUUCUUCAUCAUGUUCAUCAUGAACAUGAUGAACCUUCACCAUCAACCUUCAACCCUAACCCUAAAAUUCCGGAACUUUCCCAAAUCAAACCUAAUCACGAUACCAACAAUAGUGAAUCAAAGAUCUCAUCCCCUCAACCCCAAAUCAAACAUCAAAAACAAACAAAUCCAAACUAAGUUCUGAAACCCUAAAUUCAAUAAACUGAAACCUUAAAUCCUAUUCAACAACAUAAACUAAAAUAAAGCAACAUCAUUAAAUGCAAGCAGUUAACAACAAACAAUGAGUAAGGGAAAAAUCCACAACCUAUAGAGACGAGAUUCUCUCUGGUAAGGUCUGAUUGGGAGCUUAAGCUCAAGAGACUUAGGGUUUUAAUGAAAAACCCUAAGUAUCAAUAUGACAAGAGCUUUGGUGUUUGGUGGUGGAUCGUAGCAACAAUUUAGGUUUUUAGGAUUCUCUUUUUUUUCGUCCCCUUUUCAAUUUUAAUUUGAGGUUUUUAUAGAUAAAUUAUUAGGUUUAGAAUAUAUGUUGAUUGAUUUAGAUUAGGAAUUUUAGGAUUUUAUUUUAUCAGUUUUUUAGGGUUUCUGAAAUGUUGUAAAUGUAAAUUUUUGUAUCUGGUCCAAUUUAUCUUGUAAGCUUUGAUUCAAAUGUAUAUGGAUUCAAAUUUGGAAAUUUUUUAUUA